UAGUUUCCACACUGCUCUAGUACUU
rnacentral:piRNA from 1 species